rnacentral:tRNA from 2 species
GGCCCCUUAGCUCAGUGGUUAGAGCANNUCGCUGGUUCAAGUCCAGCAGGGGCCACCA